GGGAAUGUAGCUUAGUGGUAGAGUGCAUGUUUUGCAUAUGUGGGGUCCUGGGUUCAAUCCCCAGCAUCUCCA